UACGGGGGGGCAAGCGUUGUUCGGAAUUACUGGGCGUAAAGGGCUCGUAGGUGGCCAACUAAGUCAGACGUGAAAUCCCUCAGCUUAACUGGGGAACUGCGUCUGAUACUGGAUGGCUUGAGUUUGGGAGAGGGAUGCGGAAUUCCAGGUGUAGCGGUGAAAUGCGUAGAUAUCUGGAGGAACACCGGUGGCGAAGGCGGCAUCCUGGACCAACACUGACACUGAGGAGCGAAAGCCAGGGAGCAAACGGG
rnacentral:rRNA from 1 species